rnacentral:sRNA from 1 species
AAGAAAACAGCUGACAUGGAUGUGGGGCAGAUAGGCUUUCACAGGCAGAAGGAUGUAAAAAUUGUGACAGUGGAGAAGAAAGUAAAUGAGAUCCUGAACCGAUUAGAAAAGACCAAAGUCGAGCGGUUCCCAGACCUAGCAGCAGAGAAAGAAUGCAGAGAUCGUGAAGAGAGGAAUGAGAAAAAAGCCCAAAUUCAGGAAAUGAAAAGGAGAGAAAAAGAAGAAAUGAAGAAGAAGAGGGAAAUGGAUGAACUUAGGUAUGUCAGAGCUGUGGCAUUGAGACUGACCUCAAAGAUUAUUCCCUGAUGAUUUUAAUCAUGUGUUAGCCAUUAAGAAGGAUAUAUUGGUGGAAGGAGGGACAUGUAACAAGCUCAGUUUAAGCUCAACUUUAAAUCAGUUUUUUAGAAAAAGGCAUUUAUAUUAAUGUUUUGGUUAAAAGAAUUGCUUGUUUAUGGCAGCAGGAUAUGAAAGUGGAUGAAAUAAAAUAAAUAAUUUUAUUCAUAGAGAAACCUUCAUAGGUUAACCCUAGUUUGCUUUGGUUUGUAAAGUUCUUCUGGAAAGGAAAAGGUGCUGUGGGAGGU